rnacentral:piRNA from 1 species
UUUAGUGCGACAGGAACUAUG